rnacentral:rRNA from 1 species
UACGAAGGGGGCUAGCGUUGUUCGGAGUUACUGGGCGUAAAGGGCGCGUAGGCGGCCCUUCAAGUCGGGCGUGAAAGCCCACGGCUCAACCGUGGAAUUGCGCUCGAGACUGAAGAGCUCGAGGAUGGGAGAGGAUGGUGGAAUUCCCAGUGUAGAGGUGAAAUUCGUAGAUAUCGGGAGGAACACCUGUGGCGAAGGCGGCCCCCUGGUUGGAUACUGACGCUGAUACGCGAAAGCGUGGGGAGCAAACAGG